rnacentral:rRNA from 1 species
UACGGAGGGUGCAAGCGUUGUCCGGAUUUAUUGGGUUUAAAGGGUACGUAGGCGGAAUGUUAAGUCCGAGGUGAAAGCCCACCGCUCAACGGUGGAACUGCCUUGGAUACUGACAAUCUUGAGUGCCGUAGAGGUAGGCGGAAUUCAUGGUGUAGCGGUGAAAUGCAUAGAUACCAUGAGGAACACCGAUAGGGAAGCCAGCUUACUGGACGGUUACUGACGCUGAGGUACGAAAGCGUGGGGAGCGAACAGG